GCAGAUCAAACCAUCCCCGCGUACUCUGCAUCAGAUUUCUACGCUAAAGAGUCCCUGAACGGCUGAUACGCCCUUGGUAAUUAGCCAAGCGGGCAAUUUACAGAUUCAGUAUAGGCUAACAACGGGAGACGGGAGAGAUACGUGACUGAUUACAGGCUCCCCUGCAGCCGGAUCGGAGUGGAAAGACAACGGGAGCCUCCGCGGCUGGUUUGCCGGAAACCCAAUACCACCAGCUGAGUCUGAUUCACACCUGAAGCAGGAAGCAACAGCGUGGAAAAACGAUCCCUUCAUCCCCAUUGGCCACACCCUGCAUGGCAGUGGUGCAGUGCAUUGUGGGAGUGUGCCCCCUCACUGACAUGAAGCAUCCGACAGUCAUAAUGGAUGACGUUCAAUCACUAU